rnacentral:tRNA from 1 species
GGGGUUGUGGCUCAGUGGUAGAGUGCAUACCUAGCAUGCAUGAGGCACUGGGUUCAAUCCUCAACAGCAUAU